rnacentral:rRNA from 1 species
CUUGCCCGGGAACUACGAGCAUAAGCUUAAAACCCAAAGGACCUGGCGGUGCUUUAGACCCCCCUAGAGGAGCCUGUUCUAUAACCGAUAAUCCCCGUUAAACCUCACCCUCCCUUGUUCUCCCCGCCUAUAUACCGCCGUCGUCAGCUCACCCUAUGAAGGAUUAAAAGUGGGCUCAAUUGGUAAAACCUAAAACGUCAGGUCGAGGUGUAGCGUACGAGAGGGGAAGAAAUGGGCUACAUUUACUGACUCAGUAAAUACGGACAAUGCUCUGAAACAAGCAUUAGAAGGAGGAUUUAGCAGUAAGGGGGGAAUAGAGUGCCCCCCUGAAAUUGGCCCUGAAGCGCGCACACACCGCCCGUCGCCCUCCCCGAAAAGCUUAAAAAUAGUAAAUAAACAAUAAUAUCAAUAAAGAGGAGGCAAGUCGUAACAUGGUAAGUGUACCGGAAGGUGCACUUGGAAAAAU